rnacentral:rRNA from 1 species
GACGAACGCUGGCGGCGUGCUUAACACAUGCAAGUCGAACGGAAAGGCCCUGCUUGCAGGGUGCUCGAGUGGCGAACGGGUGAGUAACACGUGGGUGAUCUGCCCCUUACUUUGGGUUAAGCCUGGUAAACUGGGUCUAGUACUGGAUAGGACCAUUCUGUAGGUGGUGUGGUGGAAAGAUUAGUUUCGGUAAGGGAUGAGCUCGCGGCCUAUCAGCUUGUUGGUGGGGUAAUGGCCUACCAAGGCGUCGACGGGUAGCCGGCCUGAGAGGGUGGACGGCCACAUUGGGACUGAGAUGCGGCGCAGACUCCUACGGGAGGCAGCAGUGGGGAAUAUUGCACAAGGGGCGCAAGCCUGAUGCAGCGACGCCGCGUGGGGGAUGACGGCCUUCGGGUUGUAAACUACUUUCAGCCAUGAAGAAGCCCUUGUGGUGACGGUAGUGGUAGAAGAAGCACCGGCUAACUACGUG